GUCAGUCAGUCGAGCAUUAUCGCCUGCAGCAGAGAGACAGUGUUUCCAGCGUUUUUAAGCCUUGGAGUAUCUUUGUCCCAUCACUACUAAAGAAACCACAAGAAUUUGGCGUCACGAACCUCGGACGUGCUGUGGCCUGCAGGUGCAGACGACUGCCUCGACGCAUCUACCUCCGCUCCUAUUGUCGACAGAAAAGGUAUGAGAAAAAAGGGGGGAAAGGCCACAGGGAAUGCUGAAGGAACUUGUCCCGACAGAGAAAAUAAAAUGGACUGGAGGAUGUUCAUAUUCACGACAUCAUUGACACCACGAUGCUGGGAUGACUGCCCAGAGUCAAGGAGGAGCUUCAGUGUGACACAUUCUUAUGUGUUAUAUAUAUACCUUUACAAGUAUUUGUUUGUGUUCCAUUAUGUUAUAAUUGGUGAUAUUCUGUUUAUUGUACAUGUUUGAAGAAUGAUGUUUCUGUUAUGGGGUAAGUACAUUGGGACCUCAGAUGUUUUUUUUCUUUUCUCGAUGGCUAGAGAUAUGGUUGCUAGGCAGGGAUAGGUCUGCUGGAAAGUCCGAUGGGUUGACCAGCUGGAAGGUGGACAUUUUUGAUUUUAUUUUCUGAGGUUUCAUAUGUAUUUGCUAAUUACAUUUUAAGUGAUUCCUUAUCAUCCUUUUAAGAUUGACAUGGAGUACAAUAGGUGGUUGCUCAGGGCAGGAGGACCGUGAGAGACUUUUUCCUGUCUAGAUUGUUUGAUGGACAUUUAAGAAAGAAAGCUGCCUGACAGGUUUUUCGUUGUGGCACUCCAUGUACUUAAAGUAUGCAAGUAAGAGCCUUUCCUUGGUUUUUUGAGACGUACAUGUCCCAAAAAAGGUGGGAACUGUGGUGAAUUUGAUCUUAUUAAUUCUAUAGUCGUAACAUUAAUUUCUAUCAUAUUGGGCCUGGUUGAGUUUAUUUAGUGGGACCUCUGUGUCCAGCUGGACAGGAAAGGGGCCCCCCUGAAUGAUAACAAAUGCUAUAUAUGGGGGUUAGACGACCGGGGCCAUUCUGGAGAAGAAAGUAUGUUUAUACCUAAUUUGGCUUGAGAGGAGCCAUACAUCGGACUGAGGCUAUCUUAACAGAAACCAGAUGUGGGCUAUACGUAAACAGCGGGUAUAAAACUAGGAGCUGAAAUGUAUGUGUCAGAGACUAUUGGCUGUUCUCUCCAAGCUGUUUCGUGAAGGCUUGUUUGUGACUUCGAUCUCUCAAUGCCAAUAAACAUCUUUAUAUGCAAGAAA